rnacentral:rRNA from 1 species
GACGAACGCUGGCGGCGUGCCUAAUACAUGCAAGUCGAGCGAACACAAGAGGAGCUUGCUCCUCUUGGUUAGCGGCGGACGGGUGAGUAACACGUGGGCAACCUGCCUGUAAGACUGGGAUAACACCGGGAAACCGGUGCUAAUACCGGAUAAUCCUUUUCCUCUCAUGAGGAAAAGUUGAAAGUCGGUUUACGCUGACACUUACAGAUGGGCCCGCGGCGCAUUAGCUAGUUGGUGAGGUAACGGCUCACCAAGGCGACGAUGCGUAGCCGACCUGAGAGGGUGAUCGGCCACACUGGGACUGAGACACGGCCCAGACUCCUACGGGAGGCAGCAGUAGGGAAUCUUCCGCAAUAGACGAAAGUCUGACGGAGCAACGCCGCGUGAGCGAUGAAGGCCUUCGGGUCGUAAAGCUCUGUUGUUAGGGAAGAACAAGUAUCGGAGUAACUGCCGGUACCUUGACGGUACCUAACCAGAAAGCCACGGCUAACUACGUGCCAGCCGCCGCAGUAA